rnacentral:tRNA from 1 species
AGUUUUAUAUUCAAUUAUGAUUUUAAAUUGCAAAUUUAAAGGUAACUUUAUGGUUUAAAACUU